GCCGUGAGGGGUUGAGGGGGUGGGAAGCGGAGGCGAGGGUGGGCGGGGGAAACGCCUUCCUUCUGGUCUCCUUCCUCCCUGCUUCGUUCGUCUCUUCUAAAACCUAUCGCUUCUGGUGAGGAUGUCUUCUUCUUCCUCCCUUAAUUCUCUCUCUCUCUCUUUUCACGGGGUCUUCGGAGUGGGCGACGACGACGAGAGGUGAGGGAAGUUUCGCUGCAACUUCUUC
rnacentral:lncRNA from 1 species